AGAGUUUGAUCAUGGCUCAGAUUGAACGCUGGCGGCAGGCUUAACACAUGCAAGUCGAGCGGGGAAAGGUAGCUUGCUACUGGACCUAGCGGCGGACGGGUGAGUAAUGCUUAGGAAUCUGCCUAUUAGUGGGGGACAACAUUCCGAAAGGAAUGCUAAUACCGCAUACGUCCUACGGGAGAAAGCAGGGGACCUUCGGGCCUUGCGCUAAUAGAUGAGCCUAAGUCGGAUUAGCUAGUUGGUGGGGUAAAGGCCUACCAAGGCGACGAUCUGUAGCGGGUCUGAGAGGAUGAUCCGCCACACUGGGACUGAGACACGGCCCAGACUCCUACGGGAGGCAGCAGUGGGGAAUAUUGGACAAUGGGGGGAACCCUGAUCCAGCCAUGCCGCGUGUGUGAAGAAGGCCUUAUGGUUGUAAAGCACUUUAAGCGAGGAGGAGGCUACUAGUAUUAAUACUACUGGAUAGUGGACGUUACUCGCAGAAUAAGCACCGGCUAACUCUGUGCCAGCAGCCGCGGUAAUACAGAGGGUGCGAGCGUUAAUCGGAUUUACUGGGCGUAAAGCGUGCGUAGGCGGCCAUUUAAGUCAAAUGUGAAAUCCCCGAGCUUAACUUGGGAAUUGCAUUCGAUACUGGAUGGCUAGAGUAUGGGAGAGGAUGGUAGAAUUCCAGGUGUAGCGGUGAAAUGCGUAGAGAUCUGGAGGAAUACCGAUGGCGAAGGCAGCCAUCUGGCCUAAUACUGACGCUGAGGUACGAAAGCAUGGGGAGCAAACAGGAUUAGAUACCCUGGUAGUCCAUGCCGUAAACGAUGUCUACUAGCCGUUGGGGCCUUUGAGGCUUUAGUGGCGCAGCUAACGCGAUAAGUAGACCGCCUGGGGAGUACGGUCGCAAGACUAAAACUCAAAUGAAUUGACGGGGGCCCGCACAAGCGGUGGAGCAUGUGGUUUAAUUCGAUGCAACGCGAAGAACCUUACCUGGCCUUGACAUACUAGAAACUUUCCAGAGAUGGAUUGGUGCCUUCGGGAAUCUAGAUACAGGUGCUGCAUGGCUGUCG
rnacentral:rRNA from 1 species